rnacentral:rRNA from 1 species
CCAGACUCCUACGGGAGGCAGCAGUGGGGAAUAUUGGGCAAUGGGCGCAAGCCUGGCCCAGCAACGCCGCGUGAAGGAAGAAGGCUUUCGGGUUGUAAACUUCUUUUAAGGGGGAAGAGGAGAAGACGGUACCCCUUGAAUAAGCCACGGCUAACUACGUGCCAGCAGCCGCGGUAAUACGGAGGAUGCGAGCGUUAUCCGGAUUUAUUGGGUUUAAAGGGUGCGUAGGCGGACUGUUAAGUUAGCGGUAAAAGCCGGGGGCUCAACCCCGGCGAGCCGUUGAAACUGGCUGUCUUGAGAUGUCGAGAGGUAUGCGGAAUGCGCAGUGUAGCGGUGAAAUGCUUAGAUAUUGCGCAGAACUCCGAUUGCGAAGGCAGCAUACCGGCGGCGAUCUGACGCUGAGGCACGAAAGCGUGGGUAUCGAACAGGAUUAGAUACCCUGGUAA